rnacentral:rRNA from 1 species
CCUACGGGGGGCAGCAGUGGGGAAUAUUGGACAAUGGGCGCAAGCCUGAUCCAGCCAUACCGCGUGGGUGAAGAAGGCCUUCGGGUUGUAAAGCCCUUUUGUUGGGAAAGAAAAGCAAUCGAUUAAUACCCGGUUGUUCUGACGGUACCCAAAGAAUAAGCACCGGCUAACUUCGUGCCAGCAGCCGCGGUAAUACGAAGGGUGCAAGCGUUACUCGGAAUUACUGGGCGUAAAGCGUGCGUAGGUGGUUGUUUAAGUCUGUUGUGAAAGCCCUGGGCUCAACCUGGGAAUUGCAGUGGAUACUGGGCAACUAGAGUGUGGUAGAGGGUAGUGGAAUUCCCGGUGUAGCAGUGAAAUGCGUAGAGAUCGGGAGGAACAUCCAUGGCGAAGGCAGCUACCUGGACCAACACUGACACUGAGGCACGAAAGCGUGGGGAGCAAACAGGAUUAGAUACCCUAGUAGUC